CAUUAUUAUCUUUCUACCAAUCCUCUUUUUUCUAUCUCUAUGAUUAUCGAUUCUAUAUAAAACAAAACAAUAUAUAUCUCAGCCAAUUAAUCUUUGGUAGUUGUUUGCUGGUGUCCCAUGAUUGAUUCUUUUUUGGGCUAUUCAUGAUUUGUUCUAGGAGGGGUUGUCCAUUUGGAUUAUGCCGCUCCAUGUUAAAUCCAAUCCGUUGUUUCCUAAGGUUGGAUGAAGGCAUACUUAGAGGCUAGACAUAGGAGUUAAGCGAAAGAAUUCAGAGGUGAGUAGUUAUUUAGCCUGUGAGUAAAAAAUAUUUGUCACCCUUCUCGGGGUAAUUCA